AGAUCCCGGUCAAGGUGCUAUGCAAACACCAUUACUGUUUUCCCUGGCAGAGGCUCCAUCCUCUGGCAAGAGCUGUAGGGUCAGUAAAGCCACAUGCAAAAUUGGGGAGCAGACAUGCAAUCAGGGCUCUGCGUGGCCUGGUGGUCUCUCCUUGAGGAGGAAGGCCUGGGGACAAGUUUCUGAGGGUUUGUGCCACAAAGAAUGACACUGUGAGGGGAAAUAUUAAGUGGUUAAUUAGAGCCUGCCCACUUGAGAGAGUCUCCAUUUACCCACCGGGGCCCCAUCCAGUCGCUUAUGAAUCUCUGCAGUGUCCCGAUCCUGUCGGUGCCCCCUGAUAGAGCACAGGAUAAUCUGAGCUACUCCUUUGGUCCUUCUUGCUCGGCUCCUGUCCUGUGUGGUUGCUCAAGGACUCACAUAUUUAACAGACCCACUAGACACUAGGAGUUAGGAUUCACACUGCCCUCAGGAUGGUUUCCUCCCUGGUCUUGGGGGAAAGUUAGAGCUUCCUUAGAACAUGCCCUUGACAACCUAUCCUUUCUCUGUUGAAUCAGGGCAAGCCUACUUGGCGCCAUAGUUCUGAAGCAGCUCCCUCGGACAAGCAGCCAAAACACUUUUGAAUAUCUCUGCAGGCAAUUUAAGCCUAUUGCUUUCAGUUCUAAGAGUCUGUAAAUGUUUCAUUGACAGGAUGAGUUACCAAGGAAGGCCAUGCAACAUCCAUUCUCGGAGAUCAAGGAGGAUCAUCUGCUCUGGGUUUGGAUGGGUUUCUUUUGCCUACAGAUCUCUUUUCAGCUCUAUUCUACAGCUUUUGGUUGUGCAAAGAGACAAUUCUUAACGGAUCCCAGUCCUUUCAAGUUUGCUGCUAAACUCGAGUUUUGUUGCAGAAGUACAAGUUUUGACCCGUCCUCCCUGAUAUUAACCAAAUAAGAGAAAACAGUUUCAAAUGUGUUGUUUGAAAGGAAGGGGCCCCAAAGUUUUCAUCUGCAGAAAUCCUGGUGAACCUUGAGGGACAAUCUAAGGAGACAGUGGAAAUUACAGAAUAGGGUAUAAAGUAUGGUGGCUCUUUCAAAACCAUCAAGAGGGAAAGGAAUGAAGACAUCAGUAAUACAUGAAAGGGUGUCCUGGUGAGUCAUUAUACUCCACAUAAAAUAUGAACUGUUCUUUCCUUCUCCAUCUGAUUCAUAUUUACACUUUAUAUUCCCUGUUCAUUUUUUUUUAAUGUUCACUGGGCUGUGAGCAAUGAGAACUUAUAGUUCUUGUAGGCAGAAGUAAGCCCGUGUUGAUCCUUGAGGUAUUUAAUGGACAGUUAGUGAGACCCUGCCACGUGAAAUGAGAGUUCUGGGGGAUCUGCCUGAGUUUACUUUGCCACACAUGAAGCCUCCAGACAGUGCUGGAAAUGCAGAUUUAGAUUGCAAAGGGGGAUUGGACUAGAAACAGUGAUGCAGAAGGACGUCAUAAUUUAAGUCGUGGGUGUGUGGUGUGGAUGCACUCCAGGGAAGCAGGUGCAGGGAGCAGGAGGGGAGAGCAGGGGGACCAGGAGUGCUGGGUUAGCACAGGGGACAGGGGAGGGGUGGCAGGCGACAAAGGAACAUGAGCAAGAGGCGCCUUGUCACAGCCCUUGAGGAAGCCGGGACUUUGAAGGAAGGUGUGAUCUGCAGGGUCAAAUGCAACACAGAUAUUUGGCUAAUAAAAAACCAUGAGAAAGCCAUCAAUGCUGGUGGCUCUGAGGCCUAGGUGGCUUCUGAGAAGGUGAUCACAUGAGAACUUUGACACAGAAACCUGAGUGCAAGGUGCUCAGGCAUCCACAAGGAAUAAUUCUGAUGGCCUUUCUAAGAAGAUUGGUGGUAAAGUGAGGGAGCGGGGAGGAUGAGAGACCAAGUUCAACUAAAUGGUUUGGCUUUUUAAGAAGGAACAUCCUUGGAACAUCUGUGCCAAGGAAGGAGCUUCUGGGAAGAGAGACUGAGGGAGCUGGUGAGGCCUGGGGUGAGGGAUUAUCGAAGGAGCUGGAAAGAACCACAUUCAUAACAAAUGAGGAGAAUCUCAGGUAUUGAAAGGAAAUACCUAUGGGUGAAGAUGAGGGGACCCCCAUACAUACACCUUCUCAUCAUAUAAAAUCUAAACAGUCCUGGGGCACUGUGGCCAAGGCCACGGACUUUGGAGUCAGCCUGGGUUCAAACGAUGACUUUAAGGCUAACUAGUCUGGGUGAACUCGGGCAUGUUACUCAAGCCUCGGUGCCCCAGUGUCUCCAUUUUCAAAAUGUAGAAAAGAAUAGUACCUACCCAGUAAGAUUAUAUAGGUAUUUAUAGAUCUACAGAUGGAUGGAUGGAUGGAUGGAUGGAUGGAUGGACGGACGGGUAGAUAGAAAAUGCUUAGAACAGUGUCUGGCAUCUACUAAAUACUAUAAAAAUUAACACAAAAUGAGGAGAAGUCCUGGAAGUUCAAGGGAAGUCUCAAGCACUUAACUGAGUCAAUCUCUAGCAGAACACAUCUCAUUGAAGUUUCCCUUUGGAGCCCGUCCAAGUUGUGCUUUUUAGUUUUGCUUUUUGUUUGUUUCCCCCCCUAUUUAACCCUUUGUUUAACGUGGAAACCCAAACCACAGUAUCUGGUAUCUUUGUGGUGACUAAAUGUUUCUGGUCCCAGCCAGCGGGGAACCCCAGCUGAGAUCCUGUCAGACAUUGUCUGAUGCUUGCAUUCAGGCCUGGGAAAAAUGUGCUUGACAAGCUUGCAUGUAAAAAAAAACUCUCCGACUCCUAAGAAAAUUGAGUUUUAAAACUGAAAACUCAGAGAUUUGAACUAUGACUAAUAUAAAGUAUUUGAGUCAAAAGGAAUAUAGUUUAUUUAUAGAAGUAAUAAAAGGAGUAUUCCACAUGAGCAUUUUAUACACAGAACAUUUCAGACACAAAGAGAUGGAAGUGAAUUUUUAUAGAUUAUUCACAUCGAGUCUAUGAUACUUGGUUACCUAUUAUCAUCUUUAUUAUUUUUAAAAUAUUUUAUUUAAAUUCAACUUGCCAACAUACAGUAUAAUACCCGGUACUCAUCCCAUCAAGUGCUUGCCUUAGCUAUUAUCAUCUUUAAAAAACAGAAUCUUGUCUCAUCUCUUGAAUGCAAAUUAAACAGUUCAGGCUUAGUUGGGCCAGGUCACACAGAAUCUGGAGCUCACUCUCACUGUGCUUUUACCUUGACUCUUAAACCUGCUACACUCAUGGUAGACCAAACAGUGGGUGAUGACUCAGGCCAAAAACCACCACAAACAGACCAUCGUUCAAGGCAUGGCAAGUGUAAGGGAAAGAUAAACUUUAAACAAAGCUGUAUUUAUUAUACAACAAUGGCCCCCAUUAGAGCACUUUGUUUCUGUAGACAAAUACUCCUAAUACAGUUUUUCCACUGCUCAAGAACCUUCAAUGGCUCCCCAGUGCCUAUGGAUUCACAAUGGCAACUUGUUGAGACUGUGCUUUUCUUGCUUACAACUAGCCCUGAUGACUUAGCUGAAACUGUCUAAGAUCUGAUUGGAAUUCAGGAUAAAUUAGUUGGAGAGACAGACUGAAGGCUUUAUGACAGUGUUGGCGUGUGCUUUGUUUGGGCACUAAAAAUCCAAAUAUUUUAGCCUCGCAUUCAACUCCCUCCAUUACUUGGCAUCAAUUUAGUACCCCCAGCUUAUCUCCUACUCCAUGUCUACUCAAAUGGUCUGUUUUGGGUACACUGCUGUCUCCAUGGUCCAUUAAACUCAUCUGUGCUGUCCUAUCUCUCUGCCAUCUUUCCUGCUGCUGUCCCAGCCAGUAGUACCCUUCGCAUUGGCCAAAGGAAGCCCUCUUUUCUUUAUGCUGUUACACUUAUAACUAGUUAUCUUUUUAUCUGGCCCUCUCAUUCUAUUUAACUCUUAAAUCAGUAAAAUUAAAACUGUACGAUAAACUCUCCCAAUCCAUGGUUUACUUGGAAAUACCCAUUGUUACCAGUUUGAUGUGUGUCUUUCCAUGAAUUUUUCUGUACAUUCACAAGCCUGUGAAUACAUAGUUAAAUUAUAGUUUUGUUAAUUAUUUUUAAUGUUCUGUACUUUAUCUUUUAAUUGCUUAUAAAUCCCUUGAGGGGAAGAAUGGAGGGUUGUGGAUGUUUCAUCCCCCACAGUUAAUAAGAAUUUUUGAAAAGCCAGCAGUUUUCUCAAAACACCAUUAGAGCAGGGUGGGAUUGAUAUGUGGGGAAAUGGUGGUAGAGAGUAGGUUCUUCAUACUGGAACAUUGGCUCUAAAGACGAUUGGAUUUGAGUUCAGUAUUAAUGGUAAUACUCUCUCAAUAUUAGGUAACUAGUUGUACAACAACCAGGAGAUGUAGGUUCCCCCAUUUUACUGAUGAGAGCAUGGAGACUUGAAGUGAUCACCUAAUUUCCUCAAGACCACACAGUUAAUAUGUAACACAGCCCAAAUUUGAACCCAGAUCUUACUGGCUCUGAAGUCCUAUCCUUCCCAUUAGAUUUUACCCCCUUGGAGACUGAAAAGAAUGAGCAUAGUCAGGACACUUGGGUGGCUCAGUGGCUGAGCAUCUAUCUGCCUUUGGCUCAGGUCAUGACCCCAGGGUCCUGGGAUUGAGUCCUGCAUCUGGCUCCCCAUAGGGAGCCUGCUUCUCCCUCUACCUAUGUCUCUGCCUCUCUCUGUGUCUCUCAUGAAUAAAUAAAUAAAAUCUUAAAAAAAAAAUAAAAAAA
rnacentral:lncRNA from 1 species